rnacentral:rRNA from 1 species
CCCUACGGGGUGCAGCAGUUACGAAACCUUUACAAUGCGCGAAAGCGUGAUAAGGGUACCCUACGUGCUAGCUUAUAGUUAGCUUUUGCCAAGUGUAAAAAUCUUGGAGAAUAAGAGGUGGGCAAGACCGGUGCCAGCCGCCGCGGUAACCCCGGCGCCUCGAGUGGUGAUCAUAUUUAUUGGGUUUAAAGCAUCCGUAGCUGGUUAAGUCAGUUUUUGGUGAAAUUUAGCAGCUUAACUGUUAAGAAGGCUAAAAAUACUACUUAACUAGGGACCGGGAGGAGUCAGAGGAAUGUUGUGGGGAGCGGUAAAAUGUGUUAAUCCACGGUGGACCACCAGUGGCGAAGGCGUCUGACUAGAACGGAUCCGACAGUGAGGGAUGAAAGCUAGGGGAGCAAAUCGGAUUAGAUACCCGAGUAGUCCUAGCCGUAAACGCUGCCUGCAAGGUGCUGCAAUUUCUUCGUGUUUUUGCAGUGUCGAAGAGAAAUCGUUAAGCAGGCCACCUGGGAAGUACGGUCGCAAGGCUGAAACUUAAAGGAAUAGGCGGGGGGUCACAACAAGGGGUGGAUGUUGCGGUUUAAUUCAACUAUACGCGGGGAACCCUACCAGGGCCGACAGCAGUAUGAAAGUCAGUCUAAAUGGCUCACUUGACGCGCUGAGAGGUAGUGCAUGGGCCAA